CAAUUCGAAGGGGAUGGAGUCCCCCUGAACCGCCCUUGGCUGAUGACUCCUGCCGUGUC
rnacentral:ncRNA from 1 species